AUGGGUGAAGAGGCCCUAAUAAUCAACACAGACAAGUUAUAUUGUUUUAUAGUUUCUAAUUCUCACCUUUUCAUCAAUAUACAAUGAGGU